CGCGGAGAUGUUCAGACACACUUUUAAGAAACUUCGUGAAAACAUCUGAAUUCAUCGACGACACAGCAUCAGGAUAAAGGGAAUCACAGCAUGAAUUGUGCAGCUCUUGGAAUUACGGUCCUGAUCAUCGCCAUGGCGAUCUCAGCCAAUGGCGAACUACUAGGUGAUCUUGACUACAGGCCCACCCUCUACGAUGACCCCGUGAAACGAGCGGCCGGGGUUUUCGAUGCUGGUUAUUUGGUCAAGCGUGGGACUGGCAUGAGAUUUAGAAAAUGCGUCAAUCCAUUCACAAAGGAAAAAUGUCACUGCGAUCUCUACCGAAAGGGCCCAAAGUACAUCCACUGCCGCAAAUAAGGCUCCAGAUGAGAAAUCAGUGAUCACAAGAUAUACUGCAGCAACAUUCCCAUGUGCGUCUGUCGACAGUUCGUAAUAAAAGAUGCGUUGUGAUUUUAUCACUGUGGCAUCUGUGUUUCCAAUAUAGCUGUGUCUUAAGUGGCUCAAGUUGGUUGUAUGGUGUAUUCGUCGGCAAGCAAACUUCUUUUCGUUUUCGUAAAAGCUCCGAAAACGAGAGUCCUUGUUAUAACUAAAAUGUUUCCUGCGGUUUUUUCAAAAACAUUCCUGUCAGAAUUUUUGUCAGACUAUCGGGACCUGGAACAGUUUUCAGCCCAAACAAUUUCCAACCCAACAAGCUCAUUUGGUGGUAUUAUUCCUGGCUGUUUCUUUCGUCAGAGUUAGAAGUACCUUUGUCUUUUUUUCUUCGUUUUUUUUAGUAUUAUGUGAUUUUUUGAGACUUAACCCUAAAGGGGCCGCGGGCGGA